GAUGAAGAACGUAGCGAAAUGCGAUAAGUAGGGUGAAUUGCAGAAUUCAGUGAAUCAUCGAAUCUUUGAACGCACAUUGCGCCCGCCAGCACUCUGGCGGGCAUGCCUGUUCGAGCGUCAUUUCAACCAUCAAGCCCCAGGCUUGCGUUGGAGCCCUGCGGCUGCCGCAGCCUCCUAAAAGCAGUGGCGGGCUCGCUAUCACACCGAGUGCAGUAGAUUACUCUUCGCUCAGGGCGUGCAGCGGGUUCCGGCCGUGAAACCCCCUACUUUUAAAGGUUGACCUCGGAUCAGGUAGGAAUACCCGCUGAACUUAAGCAUAUCAAUAAGCGGAGGA
rnacentral:misc_RNA from 1 species